rnacentral:rRNA from 1 species
ACCUGGUUGAUCCUGCCAGUCAGGCAAGCUAUUCUCGAAGAUUAAGCCAUGUAUGUGCCAAGUUCAAACGUUUUACGUGAGACUGCGGACGGCUCAGUAUAUCAGUGAUAAUCUGUUUGAUUGUCUCUCCCAUUGGAUAACCGUGGGAAAUCUAGAGCUAAUACGUGCAGUUCAUUGGCUCGUCUUCGGACGAGUCAAAGCAUUUAUUAGACUAAACCAUCUACUAUGCUCGCAUAGUAAGGGGAAUCUAGAUAACUUUGCUGAUCGUAUGGCCUAGUGCCGGCGACGUUUCAAUUGAGUUUCUGCCCUAUCAACUUGUUGGUAAGGUAUUGGCUUACCAAGGUUGCAACGGGUAACGGGGAAUCAGGGUUCGAUUCCGGAGAGGGAGCCUGAGAAACGGCUACCACAUCCAAGGAAGGCAACAGGCGCGCAAAUUACCCAAUCUAGACAGUAGGAGGUGGUGAAGAGAAUUACUAGGUGGUGACUCAAUGAGUUACCAGUUUGGAAUGAACGUAACUUAAGAAUUCGAUGAGAAACAACUGGAGGGCAAGUCCUGGUGCCAGCAGCCGCGGUAAUUCCAGCUCCAGUAGUUUGCUUUAAAGUUGUUGCGUUUAAAACGCUCGUAGUUGGAUCACGCAGCAGUGCCCAGUAAUCUACUAUUCGACGUAUCACUGAAAACCACUUGGUGUGGCCUUUCAUGAGCUGUCAUUAGCAGAUACCAACGCUGAGCACUGUUAGUUGCACGUGAGAUGAAUUGUUGGCCUUUAUUGAGCCGGUAUUCUCGUCUUGCGGAGUGUGCCUUGAAUAAAACAGAGUGCUUAAAGCAGGUCGUUGCCUGAAUGUUAUAGCAUGGAACGAACAAUCGUGUAUAUGUGUGUAUCCUAGAUUGGUGACGAGCCUUAGGCUUGUUGUUGAUCUGGAUGCAUACGGCACCCACCUAAAUAUGGCUGUUGGUUCCAUAUACGGUGAUGAUUAAAAGGAGCGGUUGGGGGCAUCGGUAUUUGGCCGCGAGAGGUGAAAUUCUUAGACCGGCCAAGGACUAACAAAUGCAAAGGCACUUGUCUAGACCGUUUCCAUUAAUCAAGAACGAAAGUGGGAGGUUCGAAGACGAUCAGAUACCGUCCUAGUUCCCACCGUAAACUAUGCCGACCUGGGAUCAGUUUAGAGAUGUUACAAGCUCUAGAUUGGUCCCCCUGGGAAACCUCAAGUUUUUCGGUUACGGGGAGAGUAUGGUCGCAAGGCUGAAACUUAAAGGAAUUGACGGAAGGGCACCACCAGGGGUGGAGCCUGCGGCUUAAUUUGACUCAACACGGGGAAACUUAGCCUGGUCCGGACAUCGAUAGGAUUAACAGAUCAAUAGCUCUUUUAUGAUGCGAUGAGUGGUGGUGCAUGGCCGUUCUUAGUUCGUGGAGUGAUCUGUCGGCCUAAUCGCGGUAACGAACGAGACCAUAAUCUCCAUUUAAGAGAUAGAAGCAGACGUCUGUGCGAGUGGAGUCGCAAGAUUUCACCCGUCGGGUGUUGCAGGUUGCAUUGUGCGUCGCAUUGUCAAAGUGUAGGGGCAACCUGAAACUUUGGUGGUGUGGUGUGCUUUGUUCCCUUCUAUUGAGCAGCAAUCGGUCUCGACUGGUUGUUGCCUUAUGGAGAGACAACGAGGUAUAUACAAGCUCGAGGAAGAGUGGCUAUAACAGGUCAGUGAUGCCCUUCGAUGUUCAGGGCUGCACGCGCGCUACAAUGAUAACGACAACGAGUGUCUGCGUCGAAAGACGUGGGUAAUCUUUAAUCGUUAUCGUGAUGGGGAUUGACCGUUGUAACUGUCGGUCAUGAAAGAGGAAUCCCUAGUAUGCGUAUUUUAUUAGAAUGCGCAGAUUAAGUCCCUGCCCUUUGUACACACCGCCCGUCGCUACUACCGAGUGAAUGGUGUCAUGAUGCGCUGGGACUGGACGUUGGAUGGGUCCUCGGGCUCGUCCGACGCUGGGAUCAGCGUAAAAUGGCGCAAUUUCGAGGAAGUAAAAGUCGUAACAAGGUUUCCGUAGGUGAACCUGCGGAAG